CCUCCCUCUCUCCGAAUUCUCUCCGUACAGUCCCCGUCCCAAAUCGGCGUCCGGCGUCCCUCUCCGGUCGUGGGUAGUCUCCUUGCCGACGCUGCUUCACCGGAGUUCUCCUACGGUGUCCGUCGGAAACCGCAGCCCGCAGCCCAUCCCUCUCUGUGGCCGGAUCUGCCUGCUGCUGUUGAGGAAGGUAUUGUAGUUGGUGGUGGAUGCACCUUGCCGAAGGUGCUGCAUCAAGAUCCUGUCCCUUCAAGAAGUCCAGCAAAUGAGCUUAGAUGGAGACUUCGGAAGUGCUGUCCUUCCAAAUCAAGUCUGCAGCAGCUCUGAUGGCGGAAUUGUUUAAUGUAGUCUUAGCUAAUGACAAGGAUUCUUCUUCCAAAUUGGGAGCUUAUACUGUUUAUAACAAUCUGUUCAUAGCUUUCCAUAUGGCAUGUAUUAGUUAAGCCACAACUGGCAUGUAUUAUUUUGCCUUCUGUAUUUUAGUGUUUGAAACUGUCCCACUCAAAUGCUAUUUAGAAAGCAAGGAAAAGCAUGAAAUUGUAAGGCCUUGUUUCGAGUGUGUAAAUUUGAAAAUUUCAGUACAGUAGUUACUAUGUGAUUGUGCA